rnacentral:rRNA from 1 species
UCGGGUAGCAAUAUUCGGUAGUUGGAGCGGCGCAAGGGUGCGUAACACGUGGGCAACCUGCCGUGAAGUCUGGGACAACUUGCUGAAAGGCGAGCUAAUACCGGAUGUGACAAUUGAGAGGCAUCUUUUGAUUGUCAAAGUUGGGGACCGUAAGGCCUGACGCUUCACGAUGAGCCCGCGGCCUAUCAGCUAGUUGGUGAGGUAACGGCUCACCAAGGCUUAGACGGGUAGCUGGUCUGAGAGGACGACCAGCCACACUGGAACUGAGACACGGUCCAGACACCUACGGGUGGCAGCAGUCGAGAAUUUUUCACAAUGGGCGCAAGCCUGAUGGAGCGACGCCGCGUGGGGGAUGAAUGGCUUCGGCCCGUAAACCCCUGUCAUUCGCGAUCAAACGUUAUUAUUUAAAAGAUGAUGACCUGAUAGUAGCGGAAGAGGAAGGGACGGCUAACUCUGUGCCAGCAGCCGCGGUAAUACAGAGGUCCCGAGCGUUGUUCGGAUUCACUGGGCGUAAAGGGUGCGUAGGUGGUGAGGUAAGUCGGAUGUGAAAUCUCGGAGCUCAACUCCGAAAUGGCAUUGGAAACUACCUCGCUCGAGGAAUGGAAGGGGGACUGGAAUUCACGGUGUAGCA